rfam:Cucumis melo, WGS project CAJI01000000 data, contig: 16165
UUUGGGAGAUGAAGAUAAUUCAAAUAACCAUCUGAGGCAAAAACACUGCUGAAUUUAAUGGUUUGCACGUCAGUCUGAUCCUGUA